rnacentral:misc_RNA from 1 species
AAGUCGUAACAAGGUCUCCGUAGGUGAACCUGCGGAGGGAUCAUUAACACGUGCCUAAACAACACGUUUGAAAAAAUACCAACACCAAACACCGCGAACUAGAAACAACUCCCUUCACUAGCGGACGAGCGAACAAUCAGUCUGGGUGGAGUGCAAGAGCUUGCUCUUGUGCUAUGACUCGCUCUAGGGGCCCUUUGAGACCCCAAUCCGCUGUGAAGUGUCCUGUGCGACCACCUGGCAGUCUGCAUUUCAGCCUUCCCGGGCUGACCUAAGCAGCGUUCUGCCGAAACCGUUUCACCCCACAUUUAUAACCCCUUUCACAACAUACUAAUAACUGAACCUUUUUUCAUGUCAUAUGGCUUUCAUGUCAUGUGCUUGAGAAGAUAUACGUAAUGCUGAACAACUCUUAGCAAUGGAUAUCUUGGUUCUC